GUAAAGGUGGCCGAGUGGUCCAAGGCGCUGGUUUUAGGCACCAGUCUCUUCGGAGGCGCGGGUUCGAACCCCGUCCUUUACA
rfam:Allomyces macrogynus ATCC 38327 genomic scaffold supercont3.18, whole genome shotgun sequence.